rnacentral:lncRNA from 1 species
CAUGGAAAUAUUUAUUUUGUUUUUAUUUUAAACUUUUAUUCCAGUUCAUAUAUUUAUGGUAGUACCUCAAUAGCAGAUAGUGUUGAGUGGUCUAGUGGAGAGAGGGCAGUUGCAUAAUAUUAGGUGGGGAGGGUUCAAUACUCAUGUGUGGUACUUUUUGCUUUUUAUUUGAUUUUAUUUUUCUUUAGCAUUUUUUAUUCUUUUGGUAUUUUGUUAAUAUCCUUUUUUAUGUUUAUUAUAAUUUCAUUUGUUAAUAAUGCAUAGUUAUUGUAUUUGAAUUUAGUUCAAAAACCAUUUUUUCAAACUAUAAAAAUCAUACUUUUCUCGAUUUAAUAUCGAGCCCAUUUUUUACACCCUUGUAAGUCGAUUGCUUUUUAAGCAUCGCCAUCAACCUCACAUAGCUUACUCUUG